CAUCUCUGAAAGUACACAGUGAUUUAUGACAGAUACCUUCUUUCUGUAGAAAUUUAUGGUUGCCAAAAGUGAUCCAUCUUUUGGGAAGGCAAGAAUCUGCAGGUGGGCCUUACUACUAGUUAGUAGUCUCUGUGGAAAUUGGCCCUAGACUAGCAGACCCACUGAGGAACAAACUCCAAAAGGAGAUGUAUCAAGAAUUGGGCUGCAGAGAUGAGUGGACAGAGGAGAGAGGGGAACCAAUUAGAUGGAGAGAGGCUGAGUUCAGGAUUUCCAGCUGGAGAGCAAUGUCAGCUUGUGAGCACACGCCUAUGGGCACAUGCACACGUGUUCCAGCUAAGAAAAGAAAUGGGUGGCUGUGCUUCAACGGCUCACCUGUGUUCACAUCUGCAAGAUAAGUGCAAGGAUGCAGCAUAUUUCAGCCCAUUAUUUUAAAAGAGUUGAAUGCUCCCCUGGAGGUGUGACAGUCACCAUCGAGUCACUGCUGAUGAUCACAUCAGUGGGUUUUUCCUGGUGAACUCCCAUUGUUCAUUAAUCAAUAGCUCCUGAUUCCCUGAGUAGGACCCUGGAUGAGGAGACCUGUGUCCAACCUGGAGGUGAAGUCGCCUUUACCCUGAAAGCAUACAGCUGUCAGUGAGCCCAGGAGGAAUGAAGAGGGUUGGGUGUGGGUCAGCUUAUCUGGUUCACACAAGAAUGUCUGGUUCGCAGAUUUCACAAUUCAUACGGCAGCACACUUCUUCUGGUCCACUAGAGUCUUCUCUUUUGGACGUUCCUUUUGCCUCUGCCUGUAAGUCACCCAAUGUCUUAUGGGCCUAAAUGGGAUCUCAUUUUGUAAGUCUCUAAGUCAGUCCUCAUUAUGGGCUGAAUUGUGUCCCCCACAAAUUCAUAUGUCAGGCUUAACUCCCAGUUACUCAGAAUGUUAUUGUAUUCAGAGACAGGGCCUUUAAAGAGGUGACUAAGUUAAAAUGAGGCCAUUAGGAUGGGCUCUAAUCCAAUCUGAUUAAUGUCCUUUAAGAAGAGGAAACUGGGGCACACAAAGGGAUACGAGGGGUGCUCACACACCAAGGAAAGACCGCCGGAGAACACAGGGAGAAGGCGGCCAUCUACACACCAGUGGGAGAGGCUUCAGAAGGAACCAGACCUGCUGAGGCCUUCAUCUUGGACUUCUGGUCUCCAGAACUGUGAGAAAUAAAUUCCUACUGUUUAAGCCACACA